rnacentral:rRNA from 1 species
CCUACGGGAGGCAGCAGUGGGGAAUCUUGCGCAAUGGGCGAAAGCCUGACGCAGCAACGCCGCGUGGGGGAUGAAGGCCCUCGGGUUGUAAACCCCUUUCAGCAGGGACGAAACUGACGGUACCUGCAGAAGAAGCCCCGGCCAACUACGUGCCAGCAGCCGCGGUAAUACGUAGGGGGCGAGCGUUGUCCGGAUUUAUUGGGCGUAAAGAGCUCGUAGGCGGCUUGGCAAGUCGGGUGUGAAACCUCCAGGCUUAACCUGGAGACGCCACUCGAUACUGCCAUGGCUAGAGUCCGGUAGGGGACCACGGAAUUCCUGGUGUAGCGGUGAAAUGCGCAGAUAUCAGGAGGAACACCGGUGGCGAAGGCGGUGGUCUGGGCCGGCACUGACGCUGAGGAGCGAAAGCGUGGGUAGCAAACAGGAUUAGAUACCCUAGUAGU